GUUUUUGCUGCUGAAAUUGUGUGAAUUUGCUGCUGAAAAUUUUUAAAGGUUUUUGCUGCCAUUGAAGGAUAACUUUGGCUGCUGAAAAUUUAAGCUGUUUACUGUCAAUUUGUGCAGAAAAAUUUGAGUUGUUUGCUGCUAAUUUGUGCAGAAAAAUUAGAGCUAUUUGCUGAUAGUUUGUGCAGGAAAAGUGGACAGCUUUGUGCUACCAAAAUUGAGAAGUUUUGUUGCUGGAAAUUUGAGUUGAAAAUUGCUGAUUUUAGAGCAAAAAAUGACAGCAAAAGGGUGAGAAAAUGAGGCUUUUGGUGACCGAUUUUGAGAGGAAAUGAAGAGAGGAAGCCACGGUGGUGAAGGGAAUGACGGCUGGAAAGAAAAAGAAAAGAAAAGAAGAAGAAACGUGGAAGAGAGAAAAAGAAAGAAAAAGAAAUAGAAAAUAAAUGGGCAUGACCCAAUAGAAAAUAAGUGGGCAUGGCCCAAUAUGAAAUAAAAAAUAAAUGGGCUUAGCCCAAAUAGGAAAAAUGGAGAAGCCCAUGGAGAAGGCCCAAAGGUUAUAAAGAAAUGAAAAAGACCCAAAGGUCAUAAAAAAAUGAAAAAGGCCCAAUGUUUGUCGUGGAGGCGUGCCGAACGAAGUUUGUGACCGACAAAUAGAAAUAAUUAUAUACGCGUACGAAUCAAUAGUGAAGUAAUAUCUCACUAUUAUGAGGUGAGUAUGGGGGUCUCAAUUUUAAAAAUUCCGUAUAUAUAUAUACAUGUACGUAUAUUUUACGUGAAGUGCAAAAUUUAUGGAAAGCAUGCGUUGAUAGAAUUUUAA
rnacentral:sRNA from 1 species